rnacentral:rRNA from 1 species
AUGCUACCCAUCACAGCACUAGUACUCUUCUGCUUCUUCAGGCCCGCCAUGUCCGUCGGCGGCGGCGAACCGUCGCUGUCCGCGUCGGCCAUCGUCGCCCCGGCGGUGUCCGGGUCGCACGUCCUCCGCAUCGACGGCUACUCCCUCACCAAGGGGCUCGGCAACGGCAAGUACAUCGCCUCCGAGGCGUUCGCCGUCGGAGGUCAUCGAUGGCGUCUGCUCUACUACCCCGACAGCCUCGACUCGAAGGACUCCGACUGGAUCUCCGUCAUGCUGCACUGCGAUCACGCCGAUGAUCUCGAUGAGGUAAAGGCCAAGUUCACGAUUAGCUUGCUGGACCAGCAUGGGAACCCUGUGCCUUCCUACAGCAAGACCAGCCCGCUGUGCAGCUUCUCCGGCAGUCAAUCUGCGCGUCUUGCCACGGGCUAUGAUCUCAUCAAGAGGAGCGAGCUUGAGGGAUCGGUUUACCUCAAGCACGAUCGUUUCAGUAUCAGGUGCGAUGUCACCGUCGCAAAGGAGAUGUUCACAAAGGCCAUACCCGUUGAAGAUCGAAGGAAACGGCUGGCCAUCUCGCCGACCAUGGGCUGGCUUGUGCUUGCGUGCUUGCUCCUUUUAUCUGGUGUUGUGCUUCAGUGGGCAAUGGUUGCAGAUAUGUUGUAA